rnacentral:sRNA from 1 species
CAGUUGAUCUAUCUCCUUUGUGCGAGAAGAGAAAACGCCAUGUUCCACAUUAAAGGGACGCCGCAUUAACGUGAUCAUCGAGAAAGCAAAGCUUCCAAUUGUUUAAAGGUGGUCAACUUUGAGACCUCGUAGCUCAAGACCUUGUAUUGGCGUUACUGACCAGAAACAAAUGGAGGCCACCGCAAUGCAGAGAAUAAAAACAACACAUAUACCAUUCUCCUUUCCUGCCGCUACCCGCUACCAUAUGAUACACUACAUUGGCAGUACACACACAUGCAUGAUUAUCAAAGAAGAGAGGGAUAAGAUCUUGAAAUUUUGGUGAGACGGCAAAGGUGACUUACCCUCUAUUUUGGCCGCCUGGUGUUUUUGGACAAUUUAAGAGAAAAAUAUCGCACAAAAACAUUCAUCAACAUUUCUUUCCCACUCCUCACCGCAGUGAAGACAGUUACCUGUUAUUGGUUGAAUUUUAGCAACAGAGCAGCUUGUGAAACAUAGUGGAAAUAAAUAUCUUCUUUCUGAGCUCUAUGAUAGCCUGGUAUAUGUUUUGUAUUUACAUGCUUUUUCUAUGAACAAAUUAGUCAGUCGGUCACCACCAACCAACGAACUCUCUUAUUGAAUCACCCACCAAUUGACUCAUCCACCCACUUUGUGUUUUUGGCGAUUUUAAACGAAAUCCGUUAACCAUAAUUUAACUUAACACACCAACAAUGUUAAGUAGUAUAUUUAACACAUGAAAUUUGGCAACAUUCCCUAAAUAAAUAAAAAUUUUUAA